CAAAUCAUUAAUUUUACAGAGAGAGAGAGAGAAUUUAUUCACUUGUCCAGAAAUCUAGAAGCCUAGUCAAAGUUAGCCUGCAAAAAGAAACCAAAAUGAAACUCUUCAGUAUUUUUGUGAUCCCACUUCUAUGCCUGACCAUGCUGGGCCUAUUUGGCAAGUCUUUGACCGAUCCUGUUAAGGUGGAGAAAUACGAACGAGCUGGAGUUGAGGGACUCCUCACGGGAUUGCUUCCUGCUGAGCUCGUCCCUCUAGGAACACAAGUAUUCCCCGUUAUUGCUUCUGCCAUAUCCAACAUAGCCAGCACGCUCAGACAGCUGUUUUGGCAUUUGGUGUUGCGUAUUUUUUCUAUUUCAUCUUGGCAUUCUUUUUUCCUUCCAUUUCUUCCCUGCUCGGAGUUCCUGUCGCUACGUCUGCCGCAUUCCGUACGUUCGCUGAUGCCGUGAAUGAAGUAGAUUUUAACCGCAUAAUGACAAACCUCAACGAUGUCAACCUCACAGAAACCUCUUUCUAUUACCUGGGCAUCCAAGAAGAUGUGUGUCAGGCCAAAGCAAUGUGUGAACUGAGUGAUUAUGUGGUGAAGAGGCUCCCAGCAACUGAAGCCUUCAUAAGAUUAGCAAGCAAGUUUUUGCCUGGAAUGAAACAGUAUCAAGAAGCUAUUAUGAAAGGAACUCAAAAUUCUGAUUGUUCCUUGGCAUUCUCAGGAUGUGUUUAUUCCCCAAUGAAGAAGCUGUUCCAGUGAGGUGAGAGAACAAAGGAACCGCCAGAAAGACAAACAUCUUUAAAAAUAUAGUACUAUUGACUUGUGUUGAGUGAGUCUACAUUUAUGUAGUCUCUUAUAGCAGAAUUUUGUGACUAAUUAUUUAUCUUGGUGAAGAAAAAUAUUUUAUGAAAGCUAGUGUUAUUUUAUCAAAUGUAUUUUAAAGGAUUAUUUAUUAAUAACAUUAGGUAAUAAUUGUGCUGUACACUUACUGAUUCUAGUUUUGUCAUUUCUGCUUGUAAUCAUUAUUUAAGUAUGUUUAACUUAAUACAUCUAACGAAGUAGUAUUAUAAGAUUCCUUUGUAUUAUA